rnacentral:rRNA from 1 species
AUUGAACGCUGGCGGCAGGCCUAACACAUGCAAGUCGAGCGAGCGGCGGACGGGUGAGUAAUGUCUGGGGAUCUGCCCGAUCGAGGGGGAUAACUACUGGAAACGGUAGCUAAUACCGCAUACUAUCGGAUGAACCCAUAUGGGAUUAGCUAUUAGUUGGGGUAAAGGCUCACCUAGGCGACGAUCUCUAGCUGGUCUGAGAGGAUGAUCCGCCACACUGGGACUGAGACACGGUCCAGACUCCUACGGGAGGCAGCAGUGGGGAAGAUUGCACAAUGGGCGCAAGCCUGAUGCAGCCAUGCCGCGUGUAUGAAGAAGGCCUUCGGGUUGUAAAGUACUUUCAGCGAGGAGGCGUUACUCGCAGAAGAAGCACCGGCUAACUCCGUGCCAGCAGCCGCGGUAAUAC